CCGUCUUGAAACACGGACCAAGGAGUCUAGCAUGCGCGCGAGUCACGGGGAGUACACGUACGAAACCCAGAGGCGCAACGAAAGUGAACAGCGUCGACCUCGCGUCGGCCGCAGGGAAGACGGCGGUCGGUCAGUCCGGCCGCCCGCAUUCCCGGGGCGUUUCGAGAAAUGCCUCCGUGCGAUUAUCGAGACGCACCGAGAGCGCGCACGCUGGGACCCGAAAGAUGGUGAACUAUGCCUGGUCAGGUCGAAGUCAGGGGAA
rnacentral:rRNA from 1 species